AUGGGCACAAAAUGCCUAUCAGGCAAGAAACUUCUUGGGGAGAUGGCAGAAUUCUCUGGCCCUUCUGCCAGAGGUGGAGCCCUUGGAGAUGUCCUCACUAGAGAGAGGAGCGACAGAGCAGGAGGGCCCCAGCAGGAGCCUCAAGCUGAGAUCAAAGGUGAUAUUUUUACAGCAACUGAAAUAGAAAACCACUGGACACAGUGGGAGGUGAGUGGCCGGGACACAGGCCCCUCUAUGAUGCCUGUGGCUUCAGCAAGCAUUCUGCCCUCUGCCUUGGGUGUGGGGGACUGUGUGGUGAUCUUCCCAACCAAGGUUCAAGGAGGAAACAGACAUGAGCAACAGCCCUCAGUGCUGGGAGAGGAGAGGGACAUCAGUGAAGGAUCAUAGUGAGCACUCGGUGCCUGACAUCCUCACCCCAGACCACUCUGUAACUGUGCAGUAGUGUCUGAGUUGUUCCAGGGCUUCUUGGUACACCGUUUCAUCUGUACAGAGGCCUCUGAGGAGGAUUAUUGUCACCCCUGUUUUACUGAGAGUGCUUGAAACUAAGUCCUGUAGGGAAUUGGGGGCCAAUUCAGAACUAGAAGCCUGGGGCUGCUGGUCCAAGAUUCUUUCUGCUCUUUUUUUUUUUUUUUGGUACCAGGGAUCGAACGCGGGUCCUUGCGCUUGCACAGCAGGCAGCAAAACCACUGAGCUACAUCCCCAGCCCUUCUUUCUGCUCUUUAUAAUCCUGCCCACCUACUCAUGCUCCAAAUCACUGUUCCCAUUAGCACUGGUCCUGGCUGCCCCUUCCAUAAUAGCACCCACAGUCAUGUCCACGAAAGCAGUGGGACUCAAAGCAUGGCCCCCAGAUCAGCAGCAUCAGCAUUAUCCAGGAACAUGCUAGAAAUGCAGAUUGUCAGGUCCCAACCCAGAUUUACCUAACCAGAAACGAAGUUGGGCCCAGCCCUCAAGACUUCAACAUACUCUCCAGGUGAUUCAGUUGCACUAACGGUGAGGAUCACUGCACUGUGUUACCUCAGUUUCCACAUCUGUACUCUACAGAAAAAAACACCUGUCUCACAAGGUUGAGCCCAGUGUUGUCUAACACACAUGCUAGGUGUGUGCCCUGUGCCAAGCAUCCUUCCAGCCCUUUGCAGGCAUUAACUCACGUAAUUUCACAACCCUGUGAGAUAGGAGCUAAGUCUCCUCAUCUCACAGAUGAGGAAAUGGAAGCACAGAGAGGGAAAGGGACUUGGCCAGGGUCGCACAGCUAGGAAAUAGCUGGGUUCUAGAAUCCCAGCUCUUUACAGCUAACCAAUAGAAAGUCCCUGACAAUGGGUCUGGCUCCCAAAUGUUCUGGGCAUGACUAAAAAUGUUAUGAUGGCAAUUAGUAUUACCUCACCUGAACUCAAGAUGAUGACCCCCAUUCUGUAAAUGUGAAAUCUGCUGCCUUGUCAAGAUCGAGGCGUGAGUCAGCUUCAACCACAGCCACAGUGUCUGAAACCCCAGUACAGCACAGGCCUCUCCCUUCCCUGAUCCAGGAGACCACAGUGUACCAUUCUGGGCUGCUGGAACAACCCAGCUGGUUGCAGGGUAGAAUGUGGGCUCUGGCAGAGAGGGAGCUGGAGCCCCAGUUUGGCCACUCAAGUUCUGCGUGACCUCUCUGAACCUCACAUUCCUUCUCUGUAAAUUGAUCGAUGACAGUCCUAACUCUGAAGGUUCCUGUGAGGUUGGAGACAAUGACAUUUGUCCCAACCCAGAGCAUGCACAGAGCUGGCUAUCAUCAAGCAACUUGCCCCUCUCUUCCCCCUGUGGCUGCUAGCUCAGUGGAAACAGCAGCUCCGAAUCCAGAAAGGUUUUGAAAGGAGAAGAAAUAAGUUCCCAAGAACCCAAGUGCUUUUAUCCUCCAGCUUCCCUAACCUGUUCCACAUCUCUCCUGCCCAAGGUGUUGGGGUUAAAUACUGACACCAGCUGCACCCAAGUCAGGAGUCCAGUUACCUGCAAAAGGGAGAGGCGUCUUACUCCCCCAGCCUCAUUGGCUAGGCAGGCAACAACAAUCAGCAGGAGCAUCCAAGACCUGUCACCACCAUGGCCAGUUUGGCCUGGACAUAUGAAGCUCGUUAGCUGCAUGCUCCUAAGGGCCUGAGCCCGCUUGGCAAGAAUUUCCCCAGACAGGGCAACCCAUUUGGGACCCCUCCUGUCUCCCAGGAGCUAUUCUUAUUCCUAAUUCUUAUUCUCCAUUCUUAUUCCCCAAUAAAUGUUCCUACUCUUAACCUCUGUUGUUCCUUAGACAAACGUGCCAUAUCUGAUAUCUAGCAUGAUGGGAGCAACGUCUAUUCCCCCUAUAUCCCCCCUUCUGUCUCUCUUAGACAGAAGCUAUCUUUCUCUCAAUAAAUCCUUCUUAAAUAUGGUAUUUAUACACAAUGAAGUACUAUUCUGCUCUAAAGGAUAAAUUUGAGUCAUUUGUAGAAAAAUGGAGGCACCUUGAAACCAUACUAUUAAGUGAAAUACUAUAAAUCAGACCCAAGCUCAAAUAUCACAUGGUUUCUCUUAUAUGAGAAACCCAAAGUAUAAAAAAAUUUAAAGAGCAAGUUAAAGAUAGAUAAUAGGAAACAGAGAGCUAGAUUUUUUGCAAAUGGAAAAAGUACCAAGAGAUAGAUAGAGAUGAGAGGAAGAGAAGAGGAAGUAAGAGGAAUUAAGAUGUGUUUGUUAUGUACCAAUUCCCCAUGAUGAAUGUAAUCAUUAUGUACUGCAAACAUGUACUAAUAAAAAUUAAAAAAAAAAUUCUUCCUACUCUUAACCUCCAUUGUUCCUAGAAUUCAUUCGAGUUUAGAGAGCUCGAACUUGGCAUUUCAAAUGUCUAGCGGGCAUUGAAACCAGCAUGCUACAGGGAUACCCGCAUACCCACGUUUACUACAGCAUAAUUCACAGUAGCCAAGACAUGGAGCCAGCCGAGGUGGCCACGGACAGUUUUAGCAGAUACAAAACACUGCAGCCCUCAGCAGACACACACUCCUUAGGCGGUUGAAGACCAGGUAUAUGUCCUACUGUCUCCACCCAGAUACAGAUGUUCUGUGUCCUCACACAGAACGCAGAACGGAUGUUAUAGAAAGGAGAAAAGACCACAAAGCACAGCACAACAUCUUCCCGGUGCCAGGUCAACUGACAACACCCACACAUCUGCCCUGCCCGCUGCAUGGACCCUGACCACAAAUAUUUGCUCCAGCCCCUGUAAGUGCCAGACCCCUUCCUGAUCCCCUAUAAAAAUCCCUGCCUGUUUGGUUGUUGGCCCUCAGUCGACUUGCACCCAGGUGAAUAAAGUCUGUGCCUCAUUGCUUUCCCAAAAAAAAAACAAUUUCC
rnacentral:lncRNA from 1 species